rnacentral:rRNA from 1 species
AGACGGAGGGGGCUAGCGUUGUUCGGAAUUACUGGGCGUAAAGCGCGCGUAGGCGGAUUGAUCAGUCAGAGGUGAAAUCCCAGGGCUCAACCCUGGAACUGCCUUUGAUACUGUCAGUCUUGAGUUCGAGAGAGGUGAGUGGAAUUCCGAGUGUAGAGGUGAAAUUCGUAGAUAUUCGGAGGAACACCAGUGGCGAAGGCGGCUCACUGGCUCGGUACUGACGCUGAGGUGCGAAAGCGUGGGGAGCAAACAGGAUUAGAUACCCCAGUAGUCC